rnacentral:rRNA from 1 species
UACGAAGGGGGGCUAGCGUUGUUCGGAAUUACUGGGCGUAAAGCGCACGUAGGCGGAUAUUUAAGUCAGGGGUGAAAUCCCGGGGGCUCAACCCCGGAACUGCCUUUGAUACUGGGUAUCUCGAGUCCGAGAGAGGUGAGUGGAAUUCCGAGUGUAGAGGUGAAAUUCGUAGAUAUUCGGAGGAACACCAGUGGCGAAGGCGGCUCACUGGCUCGGUACUGACGCUGAGGUGCGAAAGCGUGGGGAGCAAACAGG